rnacentral:rRNA from 1 species
GAUGAACGCUGGCGGCGUGCCUAAUACAUGCAAGUCGAGCGAACGGACGAGAAGCUUGCUUCUCUGAUGUUAGCGGCGGACGGGUGAGUAACACGUGGAUAACCUACCUAUAAGACUGGGAUAACUUCGGGAAACCGUAGCUAAUACCGGAUAAUAUUUUGAACCGCAUGGUUCAUAAGUGAAAGACGGUCUUGCUGUCACUUAUAGAUGGAUCCGCGCUGCAUUAGCUAGUUGGUAAGGUAACGGCUUACCAAGGCAACGAUGCAUAGCCGACCUGAGAGGGUGAUCGGCCACACUGGAACUGAGACACGGUCCAGACUCCUACGGGAGGCAGCAGUAGGGAAUCUUCCGCAAUGGGCGAAAGCCUGACGGAGCAACGCCGCGUGAGUGAUGAAGGUCUUCGGAUCGUAAAACUCUGUUAUUAGGGAAGAACAUAUGUGUAAGUAACUGUGCACAUCUUGACGGUACCUAAUCAGAAAGCCACGGCUAACUACGUG